rnacentral:tRNA from 1 species
GAGUUUAGGUUAGACAAACCAAGGGCCUUCAAAGCCCUAAACAAGAGCGCGCCCUCCUAACUCC